GACGAACGCUGGCGGCGUGCUUAACACAUGCAAGUCGAGCGAGAAAGGCUCUUCGGAGCUGAGUACAGUGGCGAACGGGUGAGUAACACGUGGGCGACCUGCCCCAAGGAGCGGGACAACCCGGGGAAACUCGGGCUAAUACCGCAUGAUUCGCACGACCAUAAGGCCGUGCGGGAAAUGGUAGCUUCGGCCUCCGCCUUGGGAUGGGCCCGCGGCGCAUUAGCUUGUUGGUGUGGGUAACGGCCCACCAAGGCGACGAUGCGUAGCUGGUCUGAGAGGACGAACAGCCACACUGGGACGAAGACACGGCCCAGACUCCUACGGGAGGCAGCAGUGGGGAAUCUUGCGCAAUGGGCGGAAGCCUGACGCAGCAACGCCGCGUGUGGGAAGACGGCUUUCGGGUUGUAAACCACUUUCAGGGGGGACGAAGCUUCCGAGGUUAAUAGCCUACGGGGUGACGGUACCCCCAGAAGAAGCCCCGGCUAACUACGUGCCAGCCGCCGCAGUAAGAC
rnacentral:rRNA from 1 species